rnacentral:rRNA from 1 species
UACGAAGGGGGCUAGCGUUGCUCGGAAUCACUGGGCGUAAAGGGUGCGUAGGCGGGGCUUUAAGUCAGGGGUGAAAUCCUGGAGCUCAACUCCAGAACUGCCUUUGAUACUGAAGAUCUUGAGUUCGGGAGAGGUGAGUGGAACUGCGAGUGUAGAGGUGAAAUUCGUAGAUAUUCGCAAGAACACCAGUGGCGAAGGCGGCUCACUGGCCCGAUACUGACGCUGAUGCGCGAAAGCCAGGGGAGCGAACGGG